rnacentral:lncRNA from 10 species
GCUUAAGAAAGCAAACUCUGCACUCAGGCUCCUGGGCUCAAGGCUGGGCUAUUCCCUCUGUAGGCGUGAGACCUCAGUUAAGGAACUUUGCCCCUGGAAGCUUCAGUGCCUCCCCUCUUAGAUGAAGAUAAUAACAGGAUCUGCUUUCUCAUAUGAAGAUUAAAUGAGUCUUGUAAAGAAGGAAAACAGUGCCUGAUUCCUUUGGCCAUGCUCCUGAAAUCCACUGCCUUCAAAAGCCCACAAAACUGCCCUUACGAAGCAGUCGCAGCAGUUCAGAGACCAUGCCCACCCCACACCUCCCUGCAAGCCUGGCCUCUUCACGGACCUAGGCCAUCCCGACCUUCAGGGAAUGUGGUAAUAGAGUCUAUGGCCCGCCUGUGGGGACUGGUGACCUCCAGAUGUGCAUGCUUCAAAAGAAUUACUAGAAGACAAAAGUGAAAAAGAGAAACUCAGGCAUCUUGCAUGUUUGCUAAAUAAAUCAAUAAGCAAAUAAAUGAUUGAGUGAAAGAGUGGGCUCUGCAAUGUGAUGGUGGAGCAGGAUUUAAACGGUGGAAACAGAGAGGGUCACUUCUCCACAAAAUAGCACCAUGGAGUUUUUCUUGUUUUUUUGCUUUUUUUUUUUUUUUUGCAAAAUCCCUUGGCUAUGCCCCUGAAAUCCGCUGCCUUUGAGAGCAGAAAUCUGGCUGUUGUGUGUGUGCAUGUGUGCCCUGGGCUCUGCCUCCUCGUACAGGCACCUAUUGAUUGAGGGAGGGAAUUACCGUUUUUUUCUGCACUAUCCUUCCUCCCCCAACCCGGGGGCUGUGAUCUCAGCAUAUUAAUGGCUAAGAAGACAAAACAGUGGUUUAAUUAGUGCUGUAAGAAGCCCAGGGCUAAUAGGAACCAGAGAAUAUUUAGUUCUGGGUGUUCUGGGUGAUCUUUUCUUGCCAAAAAGCUGUCCCUUUCCCAACCAGGCAAAGGGACCGGCUGGUGUGUGUGUCGCUAAUUACAGCAGUGACUCAGGCGCUAGACAGCCCUGUGACUUCUGAAGAAGGAAGGCACAGCCCUGUGGGCGUCGGGGAACACAAGCAGGUGUUGUAAGUAAGAAGUACCAGGUCCAAAUCUGAAAUGGGCAGUGGAGAAAGGAAGGAGCUCUAGAAAACAAAGAAUCAUUACUCAGAAAAUGGCCAAACGCUUCAACAUUCUGUUCCUUUGCUGAGUGAUGGGUCACCCUCAGUAUCCCCAUUUGGGGUUCAGAAAAUACCAACAUAGUAGAGUUAGGGGAUACUCCUGCCUCCUCUCUCAUAAGGCCUAUCUCAGAAUAGUUUUUCAUUCAUGGUGGCUGUUUUUAAGCAAGCAAUACUUCUCUCUCUUCUCUAUUCUGUUACUUAUGGGCAUCCUCAGCUUACUUUAGAUUUUAUGCAGUCUUGGAUUUGUCUAGUCUGUGUAUAAAUCCAGCGUCUCCAGUCAUAUUAUUAAUUCCUCAGAGACAACGAUUCUGAUCAAAACUUUCCUUAAAACCUUAUUGCCUCAGCACCUGGAUAGACACAUGUAACCUAAACAAUUCCUCCCAGUUGAAUCAAAAGAAAGAUUUGGGAAAGCUACAUCAUUUCUGGAGCCUGGUACAAAUUAAAAAUGUGGGGCCCCUUAUCAAAAGAGCAGAGAAAAAAAAAGAGUGACA